GGGCCGCUGGUCUAGUGGUAUGAUUCUCGCUUAGGGUAACACCCUGAUGUUGACAAAGUUUGUUACACUCUUCUGAGUAUUCAGCUUGCGAGAGGUCCCGGGUUCAAUCCCCGGGUGGCCCC